AACGAACGCUGGCGGCAUGCCUAACACAUGCAAGUCGAACGAGACCUUCGGGUCUAGUGGCGCACGGGUGCGUAACGCGUGGGAACCUGCCCUUAGGUUCGGAAUAACUCCCCGAAAGGGGUGCUAAUACCGGAUAAUGUCUUCGGGCCAAAGAUUUAUCGCCUUUGGAUGGGCCCGCGUUGGAUUAGCUAGUUGGUAGGGUAAAAGCCUACCAAGGCGACGAUCCAUAGCUGGUCUGAGAGGAUGAUCAGCCACACUGGGACUGAGACACGGCCUAGACUCCUACGGGAGGCAGCAGUGGGGAAUAUUGGACAAUGGGCGAAAGCCUGAUCCAGAAAUGCCGCGUGAGUGAUGAAGGCCUUAGGGUUGUAAAGCUCUUUUACCCGGGAUGAUAAUGACAGUACCGGGAGAAUAAGCUCCGGCUAACUCCGUG
rnacentral:rRNA from 1 species